UACGAAGGGGGCUAGCGUUGCUCGGAAUCACUGGGCGUAAAGCGCACGUAGGCGGCUUUCUAAGUCAGGGGUGAAAUCCUGGAGCUCAACUCCAGAACUGCCUUUGAUACUGGGGAGCUCGAGUCCGGAAGAGGUGAGUGGAACUCCGAGUGUAGAGGUGAAAUUCGUAGACAUUCGGAAGAACACCAGUGGCGAAGGCGGCUCACUGGUCCGGUACUGACGCUGAGGUGCGAAAGCGUGGGGAGCAAACAGG
rnacentral:rRNA from 1 species